UACGAAGGGGACUAGCGUUGUUCGGAAUUACUGGGCGUAAAGCGCGCGUAGGCGGAUCGCUAAGUCAGGGGUGAAAUCCCAGGGCUCAACCCUGGAACUGCCUUUGAUACUGACGAUCUGGAGAUCGGGAGAGGUGAGUGGAAUUCCGAGUGUAGAGGUGAAAUUCGUAGAUAUUCGGAGGAACACCAGAAGCGAAGGCGGCUCACUGGCCCGAUACUGACGCUGAGGCGCGAAAGCGUGGGGGGCAAACAGG
rnacentral:rRNA from 1 species